rnacentral:lncRNA from 1 species
CGACCAGCUCGGGCCGCUGGCACAGUCACGCGCGUCCACACAUCACCCCCGCACCCACACGCCGGGCAGGGUCCUCGCCUCUUCGCCCCGCGCCGCGCCGCGCAGCCAAGCAUCGUCUGCCCUGUGGGGGCGCAGCUCCUGGACUUUUUAAAAUUCCUGGAAUUGUGUCUCUCUAUCAUGGGGCUGGUACUAUUACCAUACGUUUCAGAAAACAGCAUCUGUUUACAAAGCGUUUUAUUAUACAACACAGAAAUACAUUUCACCCCAAAUGAUAACAGUGAACUUCAGCCCCCAGAAUCUCCUUCUCCCCUUCGUGAAACAGAGCUGGGAUGAUGGCAGAGGACUCCAGAACGCACUGAGAUUGUUCCUUGGCGUGACAAAUGGCAAAGGACUCUAGAACGCACAGAGAUUGUUCCUUGGUGUGACGGGCCAGACAGCACACCUUUCUUCAAGCCAUUCUCACAUCAAAUAAAACGUUGAUAAAUCAUUGUUUCUCUAAGCUUGAAAAAUGCUACUAACUCAAGACAAGGUGAAAGUGAGUUUGUUGAAAUCAACGUGAAGGAUCGAGGGUACCAACUUGGAAUGUAAAACCAUAGAAAAUACCAUCUGGGAACACGGAAAUCAUCUGUCUUAUCUGGAAGCCUGUCUCCAGAGUGGCAAACUUAGGGACUGGUUUGAGGACAGAGUGUGCCCUGUGUGCUGGGGAGGGGUGUAAAGGACUGGGAUGGAGGAGGGGGGGCUCCAGAUGUUCUUUUACCCAUAAAUACACUGUACAUCACCGUCUGCCACUGAAGCUUAAGGAUUGAAAACCUUGGGGAUGUUUCACUGGUUUUGCUUCCGCCUCUGCAAUGUUUGAACUUGCAUUUUCUGAGCCACGUAUGCAACUAAAAGCCUUACAUGCAUUACCCACCCUUCACCUCUCUUACUAGUCCUAUUUACAGGUGAGAAAACUGAGGCACAAGGAGUUUUGCUGAUUCGGGAUUGUUACGGGUUUUAGGUUUUGUUUUCCUCCUGACAGCUCCUGGACUUUUUAAAAUUCCUGUAAUUGUGUCUCCCAAUCAUGGGCCAGGAAUAUGAGAAUCAGCUGUGAACUUCGAGCCUGUCCAUCUCAAAACUCUUCAUCUCCAAGACAUUUCAAUAGAGCUUUGCCAGUAAACAAAAAUAAAUACGGUUCGGUUUACCCAGAGGCCAAAUCCCUUGUAAUAAGUUCUGGGCCAGUUUCUUCCCAGAGCGGGAGAAUAUACAGUUGUAGUUUGAGUUGAUUUUAUUUCUUUGAGGCUUUGUUUUUCUAGUCUUUCAGGCCUUAACCUCACUCCCUCAGGAACAGCUGAAAUAUGAGAAGAGAUCAUAUGGCCCCCAAAAAGUCCCCAGAUUAACCAAGAUUGAUGCCACCCAGGGCCCAGUUGGGGUCAACACCCUGUGUCAGGUGCGCUCUCUGUAUAAUUCCUGUUUCCUGUGAGAAGAGCAUUAAAGGCCCGUUAAUGUUUUAAAAUGAAAUGCAACCUCUUAAUAAUCAGGUUUCUCCACUCUGCUAGGAUUCCAAAAAAAAAAAUCAGCAACUGACAAAUGUUAAAAAUUUCCUCGCUGCUAAUCAUGCUUUCCCCCGCUUCCCUUUCUUUCCCCCUCUCUUCUAACAUGAAUUUAUUUUCUAUUUGAAAGCCAAUCUCACUGGUUAUUAGAUAUUCUCCCUGCUGUCACUAUCAGUAAAUUAUUAAACAGCUGACCAAGCUUUGUUUUAAAAUGAUUCUCUUAUGAAGCUCAGUGAUAUAUUUGCUAUGAAUACUGAAUGGUGCCGCGGUCUCUAAGGUCACGUGAAUGAUUCCUAUUUACUACCUUUAGCAAAAUGUGUGUGCAAUUAGCGGCAAGAACUUGACUUGAAUCACAGUUACUAGGGAUGCCUGUAGCUCAUUUACAUGGAGCUCCCUUUACUCAUUACACUCCUGCCCAGGAGAAGCGUGUUAAGAUUCUAGGCCAGGUCACGAAAUAGCAUAUAGACUUGUCUUUUGUCAUUCCUCACCUCCUUUCUUGUCUUGCCACUGCUGAGCCUUGACAUACCUGUGGGAAUCCUUUGUUUCAUGGAGCAGCGGGUUCUAAGUGAAUUUUUGCUUAAAGAAAAUAAACGUGAUUGAGA